AUUGAACGCUGGCGGCAGGCCUAACACAUGCAAGUCGAACGAGUGGCGGACGGGUGUGUAAUGUCUGGGAAACUGCCCGUUGGAGGGGGAUAACUACUGGAAACGGUAGCUCAUACCGCAUACCCUCGGAUGUGCCCAGAUGGGAUUAGCUAGUAGGUGGGGUAACGGCUCACAUAGGCGACGAUCCCUAGCUGGUCUGAGAGGAUGACCAGCCACACUGGAACUGAGACACGGUCCAGACUCCUACGGGAGGCAGAAGUGGGGAAGAUUGCACAAUGGGCGCAAGCCUGAUGCAGCCAUGCCGCGUGUAUGAAGAAGGCCUUCGGGUUGUAAAGUACUUUCAGCGAGGAGGCGUUACUCGCAGAAGAAGCACCGGCUAACUCCGUGCCAGCAGCCGCGGUAAUAC
rnacentral:rRNA from 1 species